rnacentral:rRNA from 1 species
CGGCGUAAAGCGUGGUUAAGAAAAUAAGAUAAUAGGGCCGAAUGGCCUCAAAGCAGUUAUACGCACUCGAAGUCUCGAAGCACAAUCACGAAAGUAGCCCUAACCUGCCUCUGAUUCCACGAAAGCCAUAAAACAAACUGGGAUUAGAUACCCCACUAUGUAUGGCCGUUAACAUUGAUGGUUUUAUACUAAGCCAUCCGCCUGGGGAUUACGAGCAGUAGCUUAAAACCCAAAGGACUUGGCGGUGCUUUAGACCCCCCUAGAGGAGCCUGUUCUAGAACUGAUAACCCCCGUUCAACCUCACCAUCCCUUGUUUAAUCCGCCUAUAUACCGCCGUCGUCAGCUUACCCUGUGAAGGUAAAAUAGUAAGCAUAAAUGGCAAAGCCAAAAACGUCAGGUCGAGGUGUAGUGAAUGAGAUGGGAAGAAAUGGGCUACAUUCUCUACCACAGAGAAUACGAAUGGUAGUUUGAAAAAAAUUACCUGAAGGAGGAUUUAGUAGUAAGUAAGGAGUAGCGAGCCCUGCUGAAGAUGGCCCUAAAGCGCGCACACACCGCCCGUCACUCUCUCCAAAUAAAACCUAAGAGUUACCUAAAACAUUUUAUUAAUUCAAGGAGAGGCAAGUCGUAACAUGGUAAGCGUACCGGAA